rnacentral:tRNA from 1 species
GGAAGCGUGGCUGAGAGGCCGAAGGCGCCGCACUCGAAAUGCGGUAUGCCCGAAAGGGCAUCGGAGGUUCGAAUCCUCCCGCUUCCGCAA